AUAACAUGACCUCAUUGAGGAGCCGCUAGGCUUAAUGGGGAAUCGGAUGAAAAUUUCGGACUGUACCCGCAACUGUAACUGAGAAGUGAACUGCAUAACCACUGGCUAUUGCUGGGAAGGUGUGGCAAGCGAUGAUCCAGAAGUCAGGAAACCCGCCUUAAUGCAACACUGGAA
rnacentral:ncRNA from 2 species